CCACGGGGAGGACAAUUGAAGUUGCUAAGGACAAAGGAGAUUUAUGUUAUUGGCAACGCAUAGGAUGUAUAUAGUACUAGCAUAAAAGUAUUGACUUACUCAACAGCAAGAAAGAUGGCACGGCGGAGAAGAGAUUUUGAAAAACACCUACAAGGUACUCUAAACAUGCUAGAAGGAAAGCACGGCAGAAGAGAGUUUCAAAAACAUGUUGUGGACUUUGUGUAUGGUUGACAAGAUGGCAUGAAAUCCUUCAUACUAAGGGGAACUCAACAGCAUGAUGACGAUAAAACAAGUUACAGAGCAUUUUACCACCUUGAUACCAAGUUGAAGUUGUGAGGCUUCAGAUAAAGAGAGGAGAGAAAGAAUAAAGAAUAAAAU
rnacentral:lncRNA from 1 species